rnacentral:rRNA from 1 species
UACGUAGGGUGCGAGCGUUGUCCGGAAUUACUGGGCGUAAAGCGUGCGUAGGCGGUUCGUUAAGUCUGUUGUGAAAGCCCCGGGCUCAACCUGGGAAUGGCAAUGGAUACUGGCGAGCUAGAGUGUGUCAGAGGAUGGUGGAAUUCCUGGUGUAGCGGUGGAAUGCGUAGAGAUCCGGAAGAACACCAGUGGCGAAGGCGGCCUGCUGGGCAGUGAGCUCGCAAGGGCUCAAUAGCCGACAGCCUGAGGCGCGACGAGCGUGGGGAGCAAACACGG